ensembl:snRNA U6 U6 spliceosomal RNA
GUGCUCACUUUGGCAGCACAUAUACUAAAAUUAGAACAAUAGAGAGAUUAGCAUGGCCCCAUGAAAGGAUGACAGACAAAUUCGUGAUGUGUUCCAUUAAAAA